rnacentral:tRNA from 1 species
GUGAAUGUGGCUUAGUGGUAGAGUGCUUGCCUAGCAUGCAUGAAGCCCUGGGUUCGAUACCUCAGUUCCACA